UGCCAAAAUUGUUGUCGGAUUUGUUCCAC
rnacentral:piRNA from 1 species